UUAGGCCGUUAGAUUGUUGCAACAGAAUAGCCAACUGUGCAAAAAUCGUGGGCGACUGCCCACGUGGCAAAUGAGCUGGAAUACAAUUAAAAGACAGUUAAAGCUGAGCUGGAUGACAGCUGUCAGAUAACCGUCUAUACUUCUAAUGGCACGUUAGUAAAAGAUCGAUGUGGAAUAACUUAUAUCGAUAAAUAUCUGAACUGGAUGCCACGCCUUG
rnacentral:lncRNA from 1 species